rnacentral:rRNA from 1 species
AUACGGAGGAUCCGAGCGUUAUCCGGAUUUAUUGGGUUUAAAGGGUGCGCAGGCGGCCAUUUAAGUCAGCGGUUAAAUCGUGGGGCUCAACCCCAUUCUGCCGUUGAUACUGGGUGGCUUGAUUGCGGUCGAGGUUGGCGGAAUUCGUUGUGUAGCGGUGAAGUGCAUAGAUAUGACGAAGAACACCGAUUGCGUAGGCAGCUGACCAGACCGCAAAUGACGCUCAUGCACGAAAGUGCGGGGAUCGAACAGGAUUAGAUACCCUGGUAGUCCGCACAGUAAACGAUGAAUACUUGUUUUCGGCGAUAUAAUGUCGGAGGCAAAGCGAAAGCGAUAAGUAUUCCACCUGGGGAGUACGCCGGCAACGGUGAAACUCAAAGGAAUUGACGGG